rnacentral:tRNA from 2 species
GCCCGAGUGGCGGAAUGGCAGACGCAACGGACUCAAAAUCCGUCGAGGGCAACCUCGUGCGAGUUCGACUCUCGCCUCGGGCA